rnacentral:lncRNA from 1 species
CCCCUCCUGUUCUCCUCUCUCCUCUUUCCCCCUCCCAUCUUUCUCUCUCAGGAGGCAAGCAGGGGAAGGAGUGGAGUGCUGAUGCGUGGGAGGAGGGGACUGGAGGAGUGAGGGAUGAGAGGAGGGACGUGUUCUGUGUCCAUCUGCCAACUGGAGGAGGUGUAGGUGGGGAGGAGGAAAGGAUAUGUGUCUCUGGGGAGAGGAAGGAGGUGGCCAGCAUUAAAGAGGAGGUGGAAGGCUACAGAUCAGACUCCCUGAGGCUGUUGCAAGAGGCUCUACAGAUGAACCAAACUGAAACCAGCCCUCCCUCCCCCAGUCCCACCCACGGAGAAAUGGGCCCUGCUUCUGCUGGUCCUGAAUCCGCUGCUGCUGAAGUGUGGGAGGAGCAGCCAGCCUUGUCAGAGGAACCAAUGCCCGGUGGAGACGAGCUCAGCG